UCAUAUAUUCGUCCGCGUAUCGUCCGCGAAUCGACGUAGUCGUAGUCGUCGUUUAAACCGUCGCGUUAACUUCGGCCGCCCGUUUUCCUCGCCGUGGCCGUUUGCUCGUUUUCCAUUCGCGUACGGUAUUGUUCGUUGUCCGAUCAGCCUGCUCCCACCCCGUCACCGCUGUGCGCCCCUCCGCCCCUGUGGGAAACCUAUGUGUGCGGGAGGGAGGGGAGAGAGAGAGAGAGCGAGCGAGCGAGCGAGCGAGCGAGCGAGCUAAUAUAGUGCUGGACAGUGCCGAUCGUCCACACAACGUAGUGAAACACAGGACACCUGCAAUCGGCGGGUAAAUGUGGUGAAACGCAGUGAGAAAGGAGUGGAGACCAGAAGGAGAAGAGCACGGUCGCGGUAACAGGAGG